rnacentral:rRNA from 1 species
AGUGAACGCUGGCGGCAGGCCUAACACAUGCAAGUCGAACGGCAGCACAGUAAGAGCUUGCUCUUACGGGUGGCGAGUGGCGGACGGGUGAGGAAUACAUCGGAAUCUACUCUUUCGUGGGGGAUAACGUAGGGAAACUUACGCUAAUACCGCAUACGACCUACGGGUGAAAGCAGUGGAUCUUCGGACCUUGCGCGAUUGAAUGAGCCGAUGUCGGAUUAGCUAGUUGGCUGGGUAAAGGCCCACCAAGGCGACGAUCCGUAGCUGGUCUGAGAGGAUGAUCGGCCACACUGGAACUGAGACACGGUCCAGACUCCUACGGGAGGCAGCAGUGGGGAAUAUUGGACAAUGGGCGCAAGCCUGAUCCAGCCAUACCGCGUGGGUGAAGAAGGCCUUCGGGUUGUAAAGCCCUUUUGUUGGGAAAGAAAAGCAGCAGGUUAAUACCCCGCUGUUCUGACGGUACCCAAAGAAUAAGCACCGGCUAACUUCGUG